rnacentral:rRNA from 1 species
UACGGAAGGCAGCAGUGGGGAAUAUUGCACAAUGGGCGCAAGCCUGAUGCAGCCAUGCCGCGUGUAUGAAAAAGGCCUUCGGGUUGUAAAGUACUUUCAGUCGUGAGGAAGGUAUUAAGGUUAAUAACCUUAGCAAUUGACGUUAGCGACAGAAGAAGCACCGGCUAACUCCGUGCCAGCAGCCGCGGUAAUACGGAGGGUGCGAGCGUUAAUCGGAAUUACUGGGCGUAAAGGGCACGCAGGCGGUUAAUUAAGUUGGAUGUGAAAUCCCCGGGCUUAACCUGGGAAUGGCAUUCAAGACUGGUUAGCUAGAGUCUUGUAGAGGGGGUAGAAUUCCAUGUGUAGCGGUGAAAUGCGUAGAGAUGUGGAGGAAUACCGGUGGCGAAGGCGGCCCCUGGACAAAGACUGACGCUCAUGUGCGAAAGCGUGGGGAGCAAACAGGGAUUUAGAUACC